rnacentral:rRNA from 1 species
ACAACGAGUUUUCCUUACUUGAAAAGGUUGGGUAAUCUUGUGAAAGUGUAUCGUGAUGGGGAUAGAUGAUUGCAAUUAUUCGUCUUGAACGAGGAAUUCCUAGUAAGCGCAAGUCAUUAGCUUGUGCUGAUUACGUCCCUGCCCUUGUACACACCGCCCGUCGCCUCAAUCGACUGGAUGA